rnacentral:misc_RNA from 1 species
GCAAAAAGGGCGAUGAAGAGGGAGGCUGCGGACAAGGCUGCUGCAGCUAAGCACCAGCUGCAUUUGGAAAGGUUGGGUCGCUGUUAGAAAUUUUUACAGCUUUCAUUGUUGGUUGUAUUUGAAGGACUGUACAGUUGAUAAUAUCGGGAAGUUUAGGACCAGUUGAUACUGUAUUUGGGUAGGUUGUCCUUCUACCUGAAUGGGUAUUUAUUUU